rnacentral:rRNA from 1 species
CCUGUUCCCAUUCCGAACACAGUAGUUAAGCUCUGUCGUGCCGAAGAUAGUUGGUUGGAGACGACCCGCAAAAAUAGGUAGGCGCCGGCU